GCAGAAGAGUCAGGAUUAACUGUUGACAAUGGAAAUAUCAUUGGAAUGAACAUAUUUGCUUCCCAAAUGAGAUGAGUUCUUGUAUAUACAGCAGUUAAAGGCAUGGUGAAGCUAGAAGAUUUUUUUUGAACGGGGCCAUUACAAAAUUAAUACAAGGUUUUUCUGAAAACUCCAAGGCAUAAGGUGGGUUAGGGAAACUUGGAAUUCUUGAGAACUAAUGACAUGGAGGCCAUGUUCAUCACAGUGGACAGAACAACAAUUAGAAAUGAAGAAUGAGGAAAUCAAUUCUCGAUACGCUGCAGUAUCAGCUGCACGAAAUGCAUGGUGCACAGGCCAUUCAGGGCAACAUCACAAAAUCAGUGUGCAAACAUCCUGGGAUCCUAACUAUCUUAACAUGAUGAUAUUGAAAUGUGAAAAAUUGAUUUAUAAGAAAUUUUAGCUAGAAAAAUGCAUAAAAAUUGUAGCCAAACUCUCGAACUUGCAUUGGAAGUUCCUUUUCCAGCAUCAAAUAAAAAAUCUACUUCCAUCUCAUCAUAUUUUAUACCCUUCCUCUCAUUCCACUCAAAAAAAUUUCAAACAACGUCAAAGCUUUACUUUCUAAACAUGUGCUACAUCUCUGGCCGCUGAAAACCACUUCAGAUGUGCAAUUCGAUCUUUGCCUACACCAAAAUUUCAAUAAUAGGAAGGCAGUAUAACACAAUGAACUUAAUAAGUAGGCUAUCUCUAGAGAAAACAUUUAUAUUACGAUUCUAAAUAUAAAAGACACUUUAAGUUUACAUCACCAAAUUUGUCAAAGUUCAGUUCAUUUCCUUUGAAAUAUCUAUUCAAAGCAAACUUGGACAAACUUUGGUAAUAAAUAGCAGAAUUGAGCCUGUUUUUCUUCUGAUUAUGUAUUUAAGUUCAAAUACUAUACAAGUUAAAAGCCAAGAAAGUGGACAUAUAUGGAUGGAAUCAUUAACCAUGUUUUAAGCUUUUGGGUUUAAGGCACUGUAUCAUGUUAUCAACGCUCCGCAUAUGGCUCAUGCAAAAAGACUUUCCUGUGAUCAUCCCCAAAACAAUUGUGAUAAUGCAACUAGCCAAAACCACUAGGAGGCUAUAUGAUCAAACAAAUCCCGAGGGCACCAAUAGAAAAUGAUCCAAACCACAAGGGAGUUUUCAGAAAUCUCCUCCGUCUACACACAUAGAAGCAAGUUGCAUACUAAUGGGAUACAAAAUCAUGUAUCAGCACUUGGUGAUCUUCAAGAUGUUCAAAAUUCAGUAGCAUAUGCCUCCAAUCUCUUAUAUGAAGGAAGGCUUCUAUGCAUUUUUAUGCACCCAGCAUCUUUCCCUUCCCUACACUUCUAGGCCAAUUUUUUACAAGGAAAACGAGAAUUAAAAA